GCGGAGGAAAAGAAACUAACAAGGAUUCCCCUAGUAACUGCGAGUGAAGCGGGAAAAGCUCAAAUUUAAAAUCUGGUGGUCUUCUGGCCAUCCGAGUUGUAAUCUAGAGAAGUGUUAUCCGCGCUGGACCGUGUACAAGUCCCCUGGAAUGGGGCGUCAUAGAGGGUGAGAAUCCCGUCUUUGACACGGACUACCAGGGCUUUGUGAUGCACUCUCAACGAGUCGAGUUGUUUGGGAAUGCAGCUCAAAAUGGGUGGUAAAUUCCAUCUAAAGCUAAAUAUUGGCGAGAGACCGAUAGCGAACAAGUACCGUGAGGGAAAGAUGAAAAGAACUUUGGAAAGAGAGUUAAACAGUACGUGAAAUUGUUGAAAGGGAAACGCUUGAAGUCAGUCGCGUUGGCCGGGGAUCAACCUUGCUUUUGUGAGGCGUACUUCCUGGUUGACGGGUCAGCAUCAGUUUUGGCUGCUGGACAAAGGUCAGGGAAAUGUGGCACCUUCGGGUGUGUUAUAGUCUCUGAUCAUAUACAGUGGCUGGGACUGAGGAACUCAGCACGCCGAAAGGCCGGGGUUCGCCCACGUUCGUGCUUAGGAUGCUGGCAAAAUGGCUUUAAUCGACCCGUCUUGAAACACGGCCAAAAGGAGUCA
rnacentral:rRNA from 1 species